rnacentral:rRNA from 1 species
GCCUCCCUCUUUCUUCGUGCUUAACACACGCAAGUCGAACGGAAAGGCCCUGCUUUUGUGGGGUGCUCGAGUGGCGAACGGGUGAGUAACACGUGAGUAACCUGCCCUUGACUUUGGGAUAACUUCAGGAAACUGGGGCUAAUACCGGAUAGGAGCUCCUGCUGCAUGGUGGGGGUUGGAAAGUUUCGGCGGUUGGGGAUGGACUCGCGGCUUAUCAGCUUGUUGGUGGGGUAGUGGCUUACCAAGGCUUUGACGGGUAGCCGGCCUGAGAGGGUGACCGGCCACAUUGGGACUGAGAUACGGCCCAGACUCCUACGGGAGGCAGCAGUGGGGAAUAUUGCACAAUGGGCGGAAGCCUGAUGCAGCAACGCCGCGUGCGGGAUGACGGCCUUCGGGUUGUAAACCGUUUUCGCCUGUGACGAAGCGUGAGUGACGGUAAUGGGUAAAGAAGCACCGGCUAACUACGUG